rnacentral:tRNA from 1 species
GCCAGUGUGGUGUAGUGGUUUGAGUGUCGGACUGUGACUCUGGAGAUCAGGUUUGAUUUCCUGCUCAGCCA